rnacentral:rRNA from 1 species
AGCGAACGCUGGCGGCAGGCCUAACACAUGCAAGUCGAACGAACCUUUCGGGGUUAGUGGCGGACGGGUGAGUAACACGUGGGAACGUGCCUUUAGGUUCGGAAUAACUCAGGGAAACUUGUGCUAAUACCGAAUGUGCCCUUCGGGGGAAAGAUUAAUCGCCUUUAGAGCGGCCCGCGUCUGAUUAGCUAGUUGGUUGAGGUAAUGGCUCACCAAGGCGACGAUCAGUAGCUGGUCUGAGCGGAUGAUCAGCCACAUUGGGACUGAGACACGGCCCAAACUCCUACGGGAGGCAGCAGUAGGGAAUCUUGCGCAAUGGGCGAAAGCCUGACGCAGCCAUGCCGCGUGAAUGAUGAAGGUCUUAGGAUUGUAAAAUUCUUUCACCGGGGACGAUAAUGACGGUACCCGGAGAAGAAGCCCCGGCUAACUUCGUG